UGCUAAGUAGGGAGGGAAGAUCAUUUCCUUGCUCCUGCUGGCAGUGUUAUUUGUGAUACAAGCUAGGAUGCACAUUAUUGUCCAGAUUUCUUCAGACAUCUCAAUCAGAUAUCUUCGUUCUAGCUUUUAUGCCUUAGUUUCUUCUGAAAACUGAGGAAAGUGAGUUUCCAUGGAAACUGAGGCAUAGAUUGUGUGCUAGGAGACAGGUUCCCUUUAUGUGAUAUUGGGAUAUGUCCAAGUUGCACCACUAUGACUGGGAACGAGGAGUUCUAGUUUAGGUAACUGUGAACGCAGCUGUUAAGGUGUAUCCAGAUUCUUCGUAUUUUCCUGCCCCUCUCCACAUUACAUCUAGAGUUCGGUCCAUGACUAGAGCUGCUCCAAAUAAUAGAAAUAGUAGCUUCAGGCAUGACAGAAACUUUGCAGGUACGCAGAGAAAACAGGAGCGAUGAUUGCUGCAGCAUUUCUUUUCUAUUCAGUCCGCUUCAUUUAUUCGUUGGAGCCAAUUCCUUUAUAAAAUAAAUGUCCAUGGCUAAUUUGCUAGAGGUUAUGUUGUUGCUGUUGUUCAAACUCUGUUGGGAAUUCUUUGUGUGUGUGUGUGUUACACAAGUGAGUUUUCUUUGUCUAGAUUUAUAGAUACUCAAAUUUCGUUUGAGAAAGGUGUUCUACAGGUGCCUAGCUUCAUUACAGUUCGUAUUAGC